rnacentral:lncRNA from 1 species
AAUGACUGGUUUCACGUGUCCAUCCAUGUCUGAAUCAGCUGUUACUGUCCUUGUUGCAGUUUCUGUCCAUGGUGGUCUGAUAUCUCAAAGCUGAUCAAGUUCCUGGUGGGUCUCCUGUCUCAAGCAGUAGAGUGGGAGGAGCAGUCAGGAGAGAAGACACUGAAGCUGGUAUCAUCAGUGUGUACUUACAGAACCUUCCCUUUCUGUGACGGGGAUGAUGAGGAUGAGUGGUUUCAAUGUGAUCUCCUGCUGGAUCUGUACUCACAUGUGGAGGACUAUGAGACUAAAACAGGCAGGAGUGUCCUUCCAUCAUUGAGACCACUUUAUCAGUCAGCUCCUGCAGUCUGGUCCAUAGACCUCUCAGAGAGAAAGGCCUCCCUCCUCCUAGAAGUGCUGAAACUCCAACCAGAGAAGAAACCAGUACAGCUGAAAGGCUGGUCAGAUGAAGAGAGUGAAGUGAGGAGUUUCCUUCAGUGUCUGCCUUACAUCUCACAGCUGAGUUUUACUCCACCACAGUAUCAGAGAAGAUCCCCUGAAGAGUGGAGAAAGAGAGAGAAGACAUUCCUACUGAAUCUGUGUCUUCAAGCAGCCCUCCAUGAGAGAGAAACCAUACAAACAACUGUAGGGAAAGUGUUGUCACUGUCUGAAGUUUAUCAGGGUCGGAAAUGGGAUCUCCUGCUGGAUCUGUACUCUCACGUGAAGGACUAUGAGACUAAAACAGGCAGGAGUGUCCUUCCAGCAUUACAGCCAGUUUACCAGUCAGCUCCUGCAGUCUGGUCCAUAGACCUCUCAGAGAGAAAGGCUUCCCUCCUCCUUGAAGUGCUGAAACUCCAACCAGAGAAGAAAUCAGUAGAGCUGUGGGACUGGUCAGAUGAAGAGAGUGAAGUGAGGAGUUUCCUUCAGUGUCUGCCCUACAUCUCACAGCUGAGUUUCUGUCCAUGGUGGUCUGAUAUCUCAAAGCUGAUCAAGUUCCUGGUGGGUCUCCUGUCUCAAGCAGUAGAGUGGGAGGAGCAGUCAGGAGAGAAGACACUGAAGCUGGUAUCAUCAGUGUGUACUUACAGAACCUUCCCUUUCUGUGACGGGGAUGAUGAGGAUGAGUGGUUUCAAUGUGAUCUCCUGCUGGAUCUGUACUCACAUGUGGAGGACUAUGAGACUAAAACAGGCAGGAGUGUCCUUCCAUCAUUGAGACCACUUUAUCAGUCAGCUCCUGCAGUCUGGUCCAUAGACCUCUCAGAGAGAAAGGCCUCCCUCCUCCUAGAAGUGCUGAAACUCCAACCAGAGAAGAAACCAGUACAGCUGAAAGGCUGGUCAGAUGAAGAGAGUGAAGUGAGGAGUUUCCUUCAGUGUCUGCCUUACAUCUCACAGCUGAGUUUUACUCCACCACAGUAUCAGAGAAGAUCCCCUGAAGAGUGGAGAAAGAGAGAGAAGACAUUCCUACUGAAUCUGUGUCUUCAAGCAGCCCUCCAUGAGAGAGAAACCAUACAAACAACUGUAGGGAAAGUGUUGUCACUGUCUGAAGUUUAUCAGGGUCGGAAAUGGGAUCUCCUGCUGGAUCUGUACUCUCACGUGAAGGACUAUGAGACUAAAACAGGCAGGAGUGUCCUUCCAGCAUUACAGCCACUUUACCAGCCAGCUCCUGCAGUCUGGUUCAUAGAUCUCAGAAAGAGAAACGUCUCCCUCCUCCUAGAAGUGCUGAAACUCCAACCAGAGAAGAAAUCAGUAGAGCUGUGGGACUGGUCAGAUGAAGAGAGUGAAGUGAGGAGUUUCCUUCAGUGUCUGCCCUACAUCUCACAGCUGAGGUUUGCUCCACCACAGGAUCAGAUAGGAUCCCCUGAAGAGUGGAGAAAGAGAGAGAAGACAUUCCUACUGAAUCUGUGUCUUCAAGCAGCCCUCCAUGAGAGAGAAACCAUACAAACAACUGUAGAGAAAGUGUUGUCACUGUCUGAAGUUUAUCAGGGUCGGAAAUGGGAUCUCCUACUGGAUCUGUACUCUCAUGUGAAGGACUAUGAGACUCAAACAGGCAGGAGUGUCCUUCCAGCAUUACAGACAGUUUACCAGUCAGCUCCUGCAGUCUGGUCCAUAGACCUCAGAGAGAGAAAGGUCUCCCUCCUCCUAGAAGUGCUGAAACUCCAACCAGAGAAGAAAUCAGUAGAGCUGAAAGGCUGGUCAGAUGAAGAGAGUGAAGUGAGGUGUUUCCUUCAGUGUCUGCCCUACAUCUCACAGCUGAGUUUCUGUCCAUGGUGGUCUGAUAUCUCAAAGCUGAUCAAGUUCCUGGUGGGUCUCCUGUCUCAAGCAGCAGAGUGGGAGGAGCAGUCAGGAGAGAAGACACUGAAGCUGGUGUCAUCAGUGUGUAUUUACAGAACCUUCCCUUUCUGUGACGGGGAUGAUUUUGAUGAGUCGUUUCAAUGUGAUUUCCUGCUGGAUCUGUAUUCACAUGUGAAGGACUAUGAGACUCAAACAGGCAGGAGUGUCCUUCCAACAUUACAGACAGUUUACCAGUCAGCUCCUGCAGUCUGGUCCAUAGACCUCUCAGAGAGAAAGGCCUCCCUCCUCCUAGAAGUGCUGAAACUCCAACCAGAGAAGAAACCAGUAGAGCUGAAAGGCUGGUCAGAUGAAGAGAGUGAAGUGAGGAGUUUCCUUCAGUGUCUGCCCUACAUCUCACAGCUGAGCUGUGAUUCUGACAGGUUCUUCCAGCGUGUGUGUGAAUCCAUCCCUGUGAGGUCCAGAGAGGAUGCCCAGCAGUUGGCCUCUCUCCUCCAGGCCUUGGGCUCCACCCUGUCACUGGGAGGACAGUUACCCAGGAAAACCUGCAGGUCUGUGGUGAGAGUGCUUGGCCUCUGUGCCUCCAGAGUGGACCUCACUCUCACCCCCAGCAAGAUCUCUCUGAAAGGAGCCUCACUUCUCUUCACACAUGUAUCACAGCUACACAAGCUCAGGCUGAAUGUGGGCAUGGCAGUGAGACUGGCCAGACUGGCUAGGAGGACAGGGAGAGGGGGUUCUCCACUGACUGUCCCAGAGCUCUCCCUGGUCCUAAAGAGCAGCCAGCCACCAGAGAAAGUGUUAUCCAGGGCUCUGAGUAGUGUGGCGUCCCUGCUGAGACUCUGGACGGUGCAGUGUCUGGACCUGACUGACUUCUGCAUCCAGGGUCACUCUCUCAUCACACUACUUUGUCACCAAGGCCCUCUCACUCUCAGACUGCACUCAGACACCCUGCAGCAGCUGGCUGUAGUUGUGUAUGAAGCUCAGGACAAGGACUUGACUCGGUGGUUCCUGGAGAAGGUUGGUGGAGACCUGACCUCCUGUAGGCUGGACUGGGAGGUGCUUCUCUCUCUGCUGCAGCAUUCAACCCACAACAUCACAGUGGACCUCAGGAAGAACAGGCUUCUAGAGAAGAACAUCUCAGAUCUUUUCCCCUUUCUGGGAAGGGUUAUAUUCAAGAGGCUCAGUUCCAGCUUUGUGAAGUCCACCAUCAGACAGAUCUAUGACAGUAGAGCCAGUGACUGUGUGUCCAGUUUGUUGAGGUCUUCAGACCAUUGGAUCAACCUGAACAGCAGAGAGCUGGACAGAGUGGACUGUACUGCGCUGUGUUUCACCCUGCAGCACAGCCACCAAGUCAAAGUCAACCUGCUGUGGACCUCCAUACCACCGGGGGAGAUAGAGAGCAUCCUGCCUCUUCUGGACAGAGUCUCCCAACUCAGUGUUGACAGGAUGCUGUUGCUGAGUUUCCUCCACUCCUGCGCUGCCUCUCAGAUCCUGCAGGGGGCACUAUCACCACCUUCAGCAAUAACAACAGCAGCAGCAGAGCUGCUCAGGGCUCUGCAGCACAGGUUGGACUUCUCCUGCUCCUCCUCUGUGGACCUGUCGGCUCACGACCAGGGGGAGGCGCUGUGUCUGACCACUGACCACUGUAGGGCCAUAAACUCUGUUCUGAAGCAGAGCCAGCACAGCACACAGCUGGUUCAGAACCCGACCCAGAACCAGUCCCGAAACCAGCCCCAGGUGCAGCUCAUCCUUAAAGACUGUGAGGUGGAGCACGGAGCACUGAGAGAGCUGCUUCCCAUCCUGCAUAUUGUCAAGCUGAGCCCCAGCAAAGCUCUGCUACUUCAGCUGGUGGACCAUGUGUGUGAGGGGAUUGAAGAGGGAGUGCUGAGGAACGCAGUAUCCCUGUGCAGAGCCCUGGAUGGGGAGCUGGACCUCAGUGAGACCAGGCUGAACCAAAAGGCCUGUGGAUCUCUGGCCCUGGUUCUGGAACACUCAGAGGGGCUGUCAGAACUGGACCUCAGCCACUGCCAACUCACAGACCGCCAUCUACAGCCCCUGCUCACACACCUGCACAAAGUUGAAGUCCUUGACCUGAGUCACAAUGACAUCACUGAUGCUCUGACCGACAGAAUUCUCCAACUGGUCUCCACCAACACUUCAAUCCGCACCGUACGGCUCUUCAGCAACAGAAUCAAGGACAGAAGUCCGUUCCUGACAGACAAGAGGUUUGACAUCUGGUGA